rnacentral:rRNA from 1 species
GGGAUAACAGGCUGAUCUUCCCCAAGAGUCCAUAUCGACGGGAUGGUUUGGCACCUCGAUGUCGGCUCGUCGCAUCCUGGGGCUGGAGUCGGUCCCAAGGGUUGGGCUGUUCGCCCAUUAAAGCGGUACGCGAGCUGGGUUUAGAACGUCGUGAGACAGUUCGGUCCCUAUCCUCUGUGCGCGUAGGAAUAUUGAGAAGGGCUGUCCCUAGUACGAGAGGACCGGGACGGACGAACCUCUGGUGUGCCAGUUGUCCUGCCAAGGGCAUGGCUGGUUGGCUACGUUCGGAAAGGAUAACCGCUGAAAGCAUCUAAGCGGGAAGCCUGCUUCGAGAUGAGUAUUCCCACCCCCUUUGAGGGGUUAAGGCUCCCAGUAGACGACUGGGUUGAUAGGCCAGAUCUGGAAGCCCGGUAACGGGUGGAGGUGACUGGUACUAAUAGGCCGAGGGCUUGUCCUCAGUUG